GACGAACGCUGGCGGCGUGCUUAACACAUGCAAGUCGAACGGAAAGGCCCUGCUUUUGUGGGGUGCUCGAGUGGCGAACGGGUGAGUAACACGUGAGUAACCUGCCCUUGACUUUGGGAUAACUUCAGGAAGCUGGGGCUAAUACCGGAUAGGAGCUCCUGCUGCAUGGUGGGGGUUGGAAAGUUUCGGCGGUUGGGGAUGGACUCGCGGCUUAUCAGCUUGUUGGUGGGGUAGUGGCUUACCAAGGCUUUGACGGGUAGCCGGCCUGAGAGGGUGACCGGCCACAUUGGGACUGAGAUACGGCCCAGACUCCUACGGGAGGCAGCAGUGGGGAAUAUUACACAAUGGGCGGAAGCCUGAUGCAGCAACGCCGCGUGCGGGAUGACGGCCUUCGGGUUGUAAACCGCUUUCGCCUGUGACGAAGCGUGAGUGACGGUAAUGGGUAAAGAAGCACCGGCUAACUACGUG
rnacentral:rRNA from 1 species